rnacentral:rRNA from 1 species
GAUGAACGCUGGCGGCGUGCCUAAUACAUGCAAGUCGAGCGAACAGACGAGGAGCUUGCUUCUCUGACGUUAGCGGCGGACGGGUGAGUAACACGUGGAUAACCUACCUAUAAGACUGGGAUAAGUUCGGGAAACCGGAUCUCAUACCGGAUAUUAUAUUGAACCGCAUGGUUCAAUAGUGAAAACGGGUUUUGAUGUCCCUUAUUCAUGGUUCCUCGCCGCAUUAGCUAGUUGGUACGGUAACGGCUUACCAAGGCAACGAUGCGUAGCCGACCUGAGAGGAUGAUCAGCCACACUGGAACUGAGACACGGUCCAGACUCCUACGGGAGGCAGCAGUAGGGAAUCUUCCGCAAUGGGCGAAAGCCUGACGGAGCAACGCCGCGUGAGUGAUGAAGGUCUUCGGAUCGUAAAACUCUGUUAUUAGGGAAGAACAAAUGUGUAAGUAACUAUGCACGUCUUGACGGUACCUAAUCAGAAAGCCACGGCUAACUACGUG